rnacentral:rRNA from 1 species
GGAACCUGGUUGAUCCUGCCAGUAGUCAUAUGCUUGUCUCAAAGAUUAAGCCAUGCAUGUCUAAGUAUAAGCAUUUAUACUGCGAAACUGUAGAUGGCUCAUUAAAUCAGUUAUAGUUUAUUUGAUGGUAUCUUUACUACAUGGAUAACCGUAGUAAUUCUAGAGCUAAUACAUGCGUAAGUUCUUGGCGCAAG